rnacentral:lncRNA from 1 species
UGGAUUACUGGAUAGAGGAUAUCAUAACGAAGAAGUGGCGUUGGUUUCGUUGGAUUUGGACAAACGAGUAAAAAGUUAUGGCUAUUUGAAAAAUCAGGGCCAAACUGUUUUACGGAAGAAAAAAUAGCUACGGGCUAGGGUCUAAUGUAUAAAUACGUAGACUAAUUGAUAAUCUAAUUAUUUUAUCAUAUUAGUCUAAAAAUAAUAAACUACGGAGGUAUAAAAAAAACAAAGAAAGAUACCUUUAUAAGGCAGAGAAAAGAUGACUUUGGAGAGAAGAGAAAAUUUCUAGAAGUCGCGUCAGAGAGGAGAAAUAUAUUUUUCUUAAAUGAAUCUAGUCAAACCAAAAUUGUCACACCCUAGCUAGUCAUGCAUUAGAGUGUUGCAUCAUGUUUACUCUUUCAUCAGAAACUUGAAAUGGGGAUGACAGAACCCCCAGUCCCCUCUGAAACCAACUAGGGUUACUAAAACAAAUUUUCAAUGAACCUGAAAUGCCCUUCUAAAAUGCCCAUCAUUUUUGCCUUGGUUCAGAACCUCUGCCAAAAAUGGUGCACACUUUUCUAGGCCAUCCUAGGGUUCUUGAGUUAAAUCAUAACUAUUUGAAUUUGGGCAUUUAAAAUAAUAUAAAAUAUUUAAAUGCUCAAAUAUCUCCAAACUAAAAUGUUUCAUGUUGGAAAUAAUCCAACUAUGAGCCAGGAGUAGUUUGGUGAAUUUUGGAGUUGCCUAGGUAUUUUAUUUAAUUCAACAAAGUUGCAGUUAUAUUAAAUAAAACAGAAAACAGAAAAAAAACUAAAAGGGAGAAGCUUACCUGGGCUCCUCCCUGUUCAGCCCGGCCCAGCUAGCCAGCCCAGCACUGUAGCUCCCCGUCGUCUUCCUCCCCACGCCCCGAAGCUGCUGCGUGCUUGCGCGCGCGCGGCCGCGCGGCCACCUCCUGCUUGCCGACGCCCUCCUGGCCGCGUGGACGACGCCCGCAGCCCGUCCCGAUCCCCCCUGCUCUCGCUCACUCUCCCCCGUUUCUCCCUCGCUCUCUCUCGCUCUCGGCCGAAGCACACCGUCGCCGCCGUUUGCCUUAGCCACUGCCUCCGGCCACCCCUCGCUCCCCCGAGUAGCUCAGAAGCUCCGCCACAACUCCCUCUUCCUCCCCACCGCUCCACGAGUCCCCGGAAGCCCUGCAUCGCCGCCACGUCGCCGUUCCCCUCUUCGGGCUCCGACCACCGUCGCCGACGAAUUCGCCGUCUCCAGCGCGUCCCCGAGCCCGCUUCGACGCCCACUGCAACCGCGGUGAGCCCCCGAGCCGUUUCCCCCUCUCCUUCCCCUCGUUCCCUCACCGUAGCUGCAUCCCCACCUCGGCCGAACCUCCGCCGUCGCCGAGCUCGCCGUCGACGCAGCUCCGGUGACCAUUUGGUCACCCCGGCGAGUCCAACACGUUCGCAAGAACCCGUAGAGCAUCCCUAGCGCCUCACUUUGCUCGACUUCGAGCUCCAGCACCAAUUCCGCGCACGACCGAACCCCGGCGGCCGCAGCCGAGCUCACCGCCGUCAACUCCGGCCACCCCGACCCCAACGGACUCCGCCAAGAGCCGCGGGUCGUCCUCAGCUUCACUCCGGUGGUCGCCACGUUCCAUUUGGUGGCCGAAACGACCAAAACCACUAUCGCCGCCGCACUGUUGAUCGCCGCCGGCCAGAACUCCAGCGAGCUGACGUGGCCUAGUUAAUUAGCCACUAAUCCACCACCUACUGACGCUGACAAGUGGGCCCCAGGGGUUAGUCAAAGCUAACCAGCCCGGGGUCAACGCGGGCUUAGCCCCUGGUCACUGACGUGUGGACCCCACACGUCAGGUUUGACCUGAGCCAGCCCUGUUGACCUGCUGAUGUCACUGUGAUGUCAGGCUGACGCAGUAAAUGAUAUUCUGAAUUUAAUUUAAAUCAGGAAAUUCCAGAAUAUUAUUUAAACUUCAAAAAUUCAUAACUUUUAUUCUGUAACUCCAAAUUGGACAAAUAAUAUAUGAAAAAUGAUCAGAAAAAUCCAAUCUAUCCAUCUGUACUAUUUUCAUGCAUGAUCAAACAAGUUAACUUGAUGUUUCAAUCAGAACAAGAAAAGGCACUUUAAAAGGCCAUAUUUGAAUUUGGAAUUUGAAUCUUUGAUUCAAAUUUGCUCAAACACAUCUGGUUUUAGUUGCAUUAGCCCAACACACUCAUAUUGCCAUGUUUCGUGCAUGCAUCAUAUUGUUGCACAUUGUUUGGUGAUGCCUGUGUAUCGUUAUCCUUUGCGACAGGAUCUGUCCCCGAGGAGUACCGUGAUUACCCUAACGAGGAAUCGUAUCCGUGCAACGAACCAUCAGGCAAGCAACCAACCAUUUGAUCAUAUCGAUACAAUCCCAUGUUCUCGCUCCUGCUCUCUUUUACUGCAUUAAGACAACGCGAUUCAAACUGCUGUGUGCUACGGUAGUUGAACCCAUUUCCUCUGCAUGACCUGUCAUUGCCACAGUAACUAGAUGAAACCCACAAGCAUGUGUAGGAGUUGAUUGAGCCAUAUGUAUGUGUUGUUCCUACCUUGCUAUGCCUGCUAUGCUUAGAGUCGUGUCAGGUCUGGUUCAUCUGGGUGAUGGGCUAGAGUGAAAUGAUUAUGUCGGUAAUGAGAGUGGUGUGGUGAACACGAUUUGGUAAAGGUAUCGAUGAGAGGCCAUGUAGGAGUACAUGGUGGGUUGUUUCAUUGAAGCCGACCUUAAGCACUGAGAUCUGUAUGUGUGAUUUAAGAAUCAGCUACUACCAUGCAUUGGGCCCGAAACCAAUGGACCCUCUCGACUUCUUAUUCACCCUAGCUCUCCGUCCAGGAGUUGCAAGUAGUUUCUGGUGUUUGUAGCCUACUGGAGGCCGUGGACAGCGCUGACCGUAGGGGUGGGCUGUGAUGCGGUAGGUACGUGGCCGGGUGUACCGAAUACCCGUUAGGUAUCUCGGGAACCCUGUUCACAUCGUUCGGGGCCGUAUGGGAAACCUCGGCCGGACUCCCUACGGAUGGAACCCGAAUAGGCGAUAAACCUGGACUGGAAGCUUAGGUGAUUAGGUAGGUCGUGGCCGACACCCACGUUGGGCUUCCGCUUGAAGGUUGCCGAGUACAUGUCAUGUAAACGACGAUAAGUGGUGAGAGCGUGUAUGAAGAAGUACACCCCUGCAGGGUUAACAUGAUCUAUUCGAAUAGCCGCGUCCGCGGUGAAGGACUACUUGGUUGCCUAUACAGUUCAUAGACAAGUAAAUGGAAACUAUUAAAAGCCUCAAGAUAAGUGUGAGUGCCGAGGAUGGCUCUUCCGUAGGAAGACGGAGGUGGAUCCUCGGUAGUGUAUUGAAGUGGUGAAUGGUGGAAUCGUGUGCGCAAAACUAUUUCAAAUGGAGUAUCGUAGGAUAGUCUAGCCAAGAGUCAAAGCUGGCUUGCUGCAAUAACUCCACCAACCCUUCUUGAUACUAUGCAUGUAUGUAGGAUCUGAUGUAAGUCUUGCUGAGUACCUUUGUACUCAUGUUGCUAUAAUCUACAUUUUUACAGAAGACGCUGCAACCCCUUCUGAUGGGUUCUAUGUAGACGUUGACAUCAACGAGUAGGCUAAAGACCCAGGUGGUGACCCUGAGCUUGUGAUGGACCACGUAGUAUAGUUAGGCUUCCAAGCCUCUUUUAUUUUACUAGUUGUCUGUACCCAGACAAAGUACUUCCGCUGUUGGCUUGUAUGACUGUAUAACUUGUAUGUUGGGUCGUGAGACCCGUACCUUUGUGUUUGAUAUGUAUGGCUCCCUGAGCCUUAAAUAAAGUACUUGUGUUGUAGAGUCAUGUUGUGAUGCUUCGUUGUAUUUGCACAUAUCGAGCAUAUUGUGUGUAUGAUUGAAAUGCUUGGUAUGUGUGGGAUCUGACUAUCUAGUUGUUUAUCUUUAGUAGCCUCUCUUACCGGGAAAUGUCUCCUAGUGUUACCGCUGAGCCAUGGUAGCUUGCUACUGCUCUGGAACACUUAGGCUGGCCGGCAUGUGUCCUUCUUCGUUCCUGUGUCUGUCCCUUCGGGGAAAUGUCACGCAUUGAGUACCGGAGUCCUGUUAGCCCGCUACAGCCCGGUUUACCGAAGUCCUGCUAGCCCAGCGCUACAGCCCGGACCCACUUGCUGAUGACCGACACGUUCGAAGCUGGGUCAUGGAUGCCUGUCCCUGUAAGUCUGUGCCACUUUGGGUUUACGACUAGUCAUGUCAGCCCGGGCUCUUUAUCAUAUGGAUGCUAGCGACACUAUCAUAUACGUGAGCCAAAAGGCGCAAACGGUCCCGGGAAAAAGGUAAGACGACACCCGUGGGGAUACCGUGCGUGAGGCCGCAAAGUGAUAUGAGGUGUUACCAGCUAGAUCGAUGUGACAUCGAGUCGGGGUCCUGACAGCGUUGGCAUCAGAGCCGGACUGCCUGUAGGUUCUCCAAGCCAAACUGGUCGAUGUUGAGUCUAGAAAUUCUUUAGUUAUAUGUAGGGGAAUUGUUUGUGGGUUGGAACGUAAGGCUCUUUUUACUCCUUAUAUCUUAUGACAUUCUGAUCUGAGUCAGUCCAUUCUUCCACCGGGGAUUAAGGAAUUAGGAUCUGUUCUCUCUAUCAGGAUCACGUGUUACUAAUCAGUAGUACCUUAUAAGUUUGAUGGAUACAAGCCUAGUUCAGUUCUACUACCACAUUAUGUUGUUAGAAUGGAUUCAGAACUUGAUAUGAUGAUGUUGGGUGUGUACGAAAUCCUUUGUCAAAUGUCUCAAUAUCCUUUUUGAGCAUUUACAGCUGUUAUGCUGCCGAAAUUUUGCUAGAAAUUCUAAUGCCUUUGCAUUAUAACUGUGCUUUCAGAUGGCCACUCGCAACCUCAAUCAAGUGGUUCGCUUGACUCGAUGCCUAGAUGUACCCGGCCAUACUGCUAAGUUGGUCAGGGUAAUGACUGAGGCUGGAUACCGCUGGUAUCCUGAGUACACGGUCGAAGAGCAAUUCCGAGACUUUAAUCAAAGCCAGUAUCUCUGCACUGUCAGGAUAUUUCCAUCUUAUCCUGGAUCCACUGAGCCUCUUCACUGCUCCUAUGGACUCGGGGUUACUAUCGAGAUGGCUGUGCAGGAUGCCGCCUACUCCAUGAUGACCAUUAUGCGAGUCAGAUCUGGGUUAUUUCGGGACUCUGACUUCCGGUAUAUGCCAGGAUCACUUCCGGGAGCACAAGGAUAUUUCCAGGCUAUAUAUGCUGAUUCCACUCAGGAGGAUUCACGAACUCGCACCACUGCUGAGAUGCUCGAGGAUAAGGACCGUGAAAAUCGGGCCUUAAGGUUAGAGCUCUUCAAUACCCGUGCUGACCACUGGGCCACUUUGACUCGGUUCGCACCGGCGGUGCAAGCUGGAUUUUCAGAUAUGCGCGAUCUCUAUCCUGUGAGAUCUGCUCUGCCAGACGUGAUGGUUUGGCGUGAUGUAGGAGGCAUCACCCCACCUCGCGGUCCCCGCAGGCCACCGUUUACUGGUCCAAGACCUCAUCCUAGCCCCUAUGGUCCACAAGCUCCGCGAGACCGUCUGUUUCCGGAUGAUCAUGUUGAACUUCCGGGCUAUGGAGGUGACUUCUACGAGGACUACUACGGAUCGGUCUGAGUUAGUGAUAGUAUCCCUAGUUCGCACUAGCUGUGUCGUCUGUCGUCCCGCGUGACUCGUGGGAUAUGACCUAGUUUGUACUCUUUCCGGAGUUGUAGAAAAAUAAUGUAUAGGAGUUUGGAAUGCCUCCGAUGAGAUGUAAUCCCUUUUCACCGUAAUAGUACUUUGUUUGGUCUUGUACUAAACCUUGUAUGGUGUGUAUGACGAUGGAAUAAAAGAAGCAGUUUCUGUAUCUACCAUGUCAUACGGAUGAUCAUCUUGCAUUCCGAGUUAUUCCUUGCAUUAUGUAUCCUAUGUCGGAAUUUUAUCAUUCUGACUAAAUCCUUGGCUUGUUUACCUAGGAUGGUCAACACGCGCGCCAACCCUGCUUCUCAAGAGCAGGCCGAAGGCAGUGAAGCCAGGAAUGAAAAUCUGCCUCAUCCUCCUUCACUAGCCGAGGUGAUGAUGGAAGCUGAGAGAAACAAGCGGGAGACAAACCGUUUGUUGGAGCGUAUUGAACAGAAUACAGCACACCAUCAGAGGGCUAACGUGGUGUCACUCAGCGAUUUUAUCAAAUUGCAUCCACCCACGUUCCACCACUCCGUCGAGCCUCUCGACGCUGAUGACUGGCUUCGCAGUAUUUCUCACAAGCUGCGUUCCGCGCUGGUAGCGGAGGCUGACAAGGUCACCUUUGCCGCAUAUCAUCUUGAAGGCCCCGCCAGUCUAUGGUGGGAGAAUUAUGGAGCUAUGCGCCCAGCGGGCCAUGUCACUACUUGGGCUGAGUUCAACGAGGCUUUCCGUGAACAUCACAUUCCGGAGGGUCUCAUGGACCGUAAGCGUGAAGAAUUUUGCAAUUUCACCCAAGGCCGACUUUCCGUGGAUGCCUAUAGCAGAGAGUUUGGUAAGCUCGCCCGAUAUGCAGCUGAGGAAGUGUCUACUGACGCCAAGAAGCAAGCAAGGUUCCGUAAGGGCCUUAGUCCUGAGCUUCGCCGCGACCUCCGCCUGCAUGAGUGCACAUCUUUUUCGAAACUUGUCAACAAAGCCAUCAGUGCUGAAACUGGUCAGACUGACUAUGACGCAACACGCAAGCAUGGACGUGACAUGGGUUCCUCAUCCGGUGCUGGUCCUCAGAAGCGCCGCGUGUGGGUACCCAACACCGCCUUGCCACCCAGGUUCACACCGAGGCCGUCUUUCCAGGCGCCUCGCCCCGCUCAACAGUCUGCACCGGCCAAGCCCUAUGGGGGUCCAAUCAAUAAUGCUCCUCCACGUACCAGUUCCGUGACCUGUUUCAAGUGUGGGGAAUCUGGUCACUAUAUGCGUGAGUGCCCCCAGACCAACCCCAAUCAAUCUGCUAAAGCUGUUGGCCGUGGCAAGCCGACAGGAAAAGUGUUCCACGCUAAACCGGUCACCGCUUCACGUGGCCAUGUCAACUGUGUCUCUGCCGAAGAAGCUCAAGAAGAUCCCAACGUCGUUCUCGGUACGCUUCUUGUUAAUUGCCACCCGGCAUCUGUUCUUUUCGAUACAGGAGCCUCUCAUUCCUUUAUAUCUGAAAAUUAUGCUCGUUUGCAUAACGUUGCAUUCUGUGAUCUGCCGUCCACUAUGGAAAUCUCUACCCCUGGGUCUAGAUGGCAGACCUCUAGGGUAAGUUAUGGGAAUGAAAUCCAAGUCGAUAGACUUGUCUUCCUUGCAUCUUUGAUAGCCCUUAAAUCUUCAGACAUUAAUAUCAUUUUGGGUAUGGACUGGAUGUCAGCUCAUCAUGCUAAAAUUGAUUGCUUCUCUAGGACUGUUCAACUCACCCAUCCUUCGGGAAAGAUAGUCAACGUCUUGACCCGAAUAGCCAAGCGGCAGUUAUAUUCUCUUAACGCCAGUCCUUUGCCAGACCUUGAGGACGUUCCGGUAGUCCGUGAUUUUCCGGAUGUCUUUCCAGAGGAAUUGCCAGGGGUUCCACCUGACAGGGAUGUUGAGUUCGUAAUAGACCUCAUUCCAGGAACCGUUCCGAUUGCUAGAAGACCUUAUAAGAUGGCACCCCUAGAACUAGCCGAGCUUAAGAAGCAACUCGAUGAAUCCUUGAAAAAGGGUUUCAUCCGCCCUAGUUCAUCUCCGUGGGCUUGCCCCGUCCUAUUCGUCAAGAAGAAGGAUGGUACGGACCGGAUGGUUGUAGAUUACCGACCUGUCAAUUUGGUCACAAUCAAGAACAAAUACCCGCUUCCCAGGAUCAACGAUCUGUAUGAUCAGCUCGCUGGAUCCUCAGUCUUCUCCAAGAUGGAUUUGAGGUUGGGCGACCAUCAAAUCAAAAUCAGAAACGGGGACAUUCCUAAAACGGCCUUUGUUACUCGUUACGGCCAAUACGAGUACACCGUCAUGUCCUUCGGUUUAACCAACGCUCCAGCCACCUUUUCUCGGUUAAUGAACUCAAUCUUCAAGGAGUAUUUGGAUAAAUUCGUCGUAGUUUAUCUCGAUGAUAUACUCAUCUACUCCAAGAACGAGGAAGAACAUGCCGAACAUCUAAGACUAGUGUUGCAGAAACUUCGAGAGCAUCGCCUUUAUGCCAAAUUUUCUAAAUGUGAAUUCUGGUUGCCAGAAGUGACCUAUCUGGGUCAUGUAAUAUCUGGUAAAGGUAUUGCGGUUAACCCUGAGCGAGUUCAAGCCGUCCUUGAUUGGACUCCACCCGAAUCGGUCAAGCAAGUUCGGAGUUUUCUAGGCUUAGCGAGCUAUUGCUGUCGCUUUGUCGAGAACUUCUCCAAAGUUGCUAAACCUCUAACCGAACUCCUCAAGAAAGAUAAAAAGUUCGAAUGGACUCCACAAUGUGAGCACAGCUUUCAGGAACUGAAAAGACGCCUAACCUCUGCUCCUGUGCUGGUACCACCAGACUUCUCCAAAGACUUUGUUAUCUACUGCGACGCCUCACGACAAGGGCUAGGUUGCAUUCUCAUGCAAGAUCGACACGUAAUUGCUUACGCUUCACGGCAAUUGCACCCACAUGAGGAGAAUUACCCUACUCAUGAUCUAGAACUUGCAGCCGUAGUCUAUGCACUUAAGACCUGGCGACAUUACCUUCUCGGUAAUCGUUGCGAAAUAUUCACUGAUCACCAAAGUCUGAAGUACAUCUUCACCCAACCGGAUCUGAAUCUUAGGCAAAGACGUUGGGUUGAAUUGAUCACAGACUUUGACUUAGGAAUAACCUACACCCCAGGGAAAGCCAACGUCAUGGCUGAUGCGCUAAGUCGUAAAUCUUAUUGUAACAACCUGAUGUUACAACAAAGUCAACCGCUUCUCCAUGAGGAAUUUCGGAAGCUUAACCUUCACAUUGUACCUCAAGGUUUUCUCUCCACCUUGGUGGCAAAACCUACCCUUACGGAUCAAAUUAUCAAAGCACAGAAGGUAGAUCCGGGAAUCUCCCGCAUCAAGAGAAACAUUCAGAAAGGAAUUGCGAAUUGUUUCUCCGUUAAUGAUCAAGGAGUCGUAUACUUCGGGGAUCGACUAGUGGUUCCCAAGGUGCGCAACCUGAGGCGAUUGAUCCUUAAGGAAGCUCAUGAAUCUCCUCUCACCAUUCAUCCCGGUAGUACUAAGAUGUAUCAGGACCUACGCCAGAGGUUCUGGUGGACUAGGAUGAAGAGAGAAAUUGCUCAGUAUAUUGCCAAUUGCGACGUCUGUUGUCGUGUAAAAGCAGAGCAUCAACGGCCUGCUGGCACCCUUCAACCCUUAGCUAUUCCUGAAUGGAAAUGGGAUAAGAUUGGUAUGGAUUUCAUUACCGGUUUUCCCCGGACCAAAAGAGGGAAUAAUGCUAUUUUCGUCGUGGUCGAUCGUCUUUCCAAAGUAGCUCAUUUCUUACCUGUUCGUGAGAGUAUAACCGCUAGUCAGCUGGCAGACUUAUACAUCUCCCGAAUAGUGUCCCUCCAUGGUGUUCCUUUGGAAAUCAAUUCGGAUCGAGGAAGUCUUUUCACCUCUCGAUUUUGGGAAAGUUUCCAAAACGCUAUGGGAACUCGUCUCUUCUUUAGCACCGCUUUCCACCCUCAGUCAAGUGGUCAAGUGGAACGCGUCAACCAAAUUCUAGAAGACAUGCUUCGAGCCUCUGUUAUCUCGUUCGGAAUGGACUGGGAGAAGUGCCUUCCAUUUGCCGAAUUCGCUUACAACAACAGCUAUCAAUCUAGCUUGGGUAAAUCCCCUUUUGAAGUUCUCUAUGGACGACGAUGUCGAACACCCCUUAACUGGUCAGAGACCGGGGAAAGACAAUUCUUUGGCCCGGAUAUGAUUCAGGAAGCAGAAGAACAAGUUCGUAUCGUUCGUGAAAAGUUGAAAACAGCCCAAUCUCGUCAAAAGAGUCAAUAUGACCGAAAACAUAAGGCUAUGACUUUCGAGGUUGACGAGAAGGCUUAUCUUCGGGUCACCCCUCUGAAGGGAACCCAUCGUUUCGGUAUCAAAGGCAAAUUGGCUCCUCGUUACAUUGGACCUUUUCGCAUUCUUGCCAAACGAGGAGAAGUUGCCUACCAGUUGGAACUACCUCCGCACCUCUCCAGAGUUCACGAUGUCUUCCACGUUUCUCAACUCAGGCGUUGCUUCUCGGAUCCUAUCCGUGAAGUGGACCACGAAACGCUUGAUCUCCAAGAUAAUCUUACCUAUCGAGAGUAUCCCAUCCGUAUCCUCAAUCAAGCCGAGCGUACCACGCGACGUCAUAAUAUCAAGUUUCUCAAGGUUCAAUGGUCGCACCAUUCUGAAGAUGAAGCAACUUGGGAAAGGGAGGAUCGUCUUCGACUCGAGUAUCCCGCCUUCUUCUCGGAGGAACCCAAAUCUCGGGACGAGAUUCUUUUGAGUGGGGGUGAGUUGUCACACCCUAGCUAGUCAUGCAUUAGAGUGUUGCAUCAUGUUUACUCUUUCAUCAGAAACUUGAAAUGGGGAUGACAGAACCCCCAGUCCCCUCUGAAACCAACUAGGGUUACUAAAACAAAUUUUCAAUGAACCUGAAAUGCCCUUCUAAAAUGCCCAUCAUUUUUGCCUUGGUUCAGAACCUCUGCCAAAAAUGGUGCACACUUUUCUAGGCCAUCCUAGGGUUCUUGAGUUAAAUCAUAACUAUUUGAAUUUGGGCAUUUAAAAUAAUAUAAAAUAUUUAAAUGCUCAAAUAUCUCCAAACUAAAAUGUUUCAUGUUGGAAAUAAUCCAACUAUGAGCCAGGAGUAGUUUGGUGAAUUUUGGAGUUGCCUAGGUAUUUUAUUUAAUUCAACAAAGUUGCAGUUAUAUUAAAUAAAACAGAAAACAGAAAAAAAACUAAAAGGGAGAAGCUUACCUGGGCUCCUCCCUGUUCAGCCCGGCCCAGCUAGCCAGCCCAGCACUGUAGCUCCCCGUCGUCUUCCUACCCACGCCCCGAAGCUGCUGCGUGCUCGCGCGCGCGCGGCCGCGCGGCCACCUCCUACUUGCCGACGCCCUCCUGGCCGCGUGGACGACGCCCGCAGCCCGUCCCGACCCCCCUGCUCUCGCUCACUCUCCCCCGUUUCUCCCUCGCUCUCUCUCGCUCUCGGCCGAAGCACACCGUCGCCGCCGUUCGCCUUAGCCACUGCCUCCGGCCACCCCUCGCUCCCCCAAGUAGCUCAGAAGCUCCGCCACAACUCCCUCUUCCUCCCCACCGCUCCACGAGUCCCCGGAAGCCCUGCAUCGCCGCCACGUCGCCGUUCCCCUCUUCGGGCUCCGACCACCGUCGCCGACGAAUUCGCCGUCUCCAGCGCGUCCCCGAGCCCGCUUCGACGCCCACUGCAACCACGGUGAGCCCCCGAGCCGUUUCCCCCUCUCCUUCCCCUCGUUCCCUCACCGUAGCUGCAUCCCCACCUCGGCCGAACCUCCGCCGUCGCCGAGCUCGCCGUCGACGCAGCUCCGGUGACCAUUUGGUCACCCCGGCGAGUCCAACACGUUCGCAAGAACCCGUAGAGCAUCCCUAGCGCCUCACUUUGCUCGACUUCGAGCUCCAGCACCAAUUCCGCGCACGACCGAACCCCGGCGGCCGCAGCCGAGCUCACCGCCGUCAACUCCGGCCACCCCGACCCCAACGGACUCCGCCAAGAGCCGCGGGUCGUCCUCAGCUUCACUUCGGUGGUCGCCACGUUCCAUUUGGUGGCCGAAACGACCAAAACCACUAUCGCCGCCGCACUGUUGAUCGCCGCCGGCCAGAACUCCGGCGAGCUGACGUGGCCUAGUUAAUUAGCCACUAAUCCACCACCUAUUGACGCUGACAAGUGGGCCCCAGGGGUUAGUCAAAGCUAACCAGCCCGGGGUCAACGCGGGCUUAGCCCCUGGUCACUGACGUGUGGACCCCACACGUCAGGUUUGACCUGAGCCAGCCCUGUUGACCUGCUGAUGUCACUGUGAUGUCAGGCUGACGCAGUAAAUGAUAUUCUGAAUUUAAUUUAAAUCAGGAAAUUCCAGAAUAUUAUUUAAACUUCAAAAAUUCAUAACUUUUAUUCUGUAACUCCAAAUUGGACAAAUAAUAUAUGAAAAAUGAUCAGAAAAAUCCAAUCUAUCCAUCUGUACUAUUUUCAUGCAUGAUCAAACAAGUUAACUUGAUGUUUCAAUCAGAACAAGAAAAGGCACUUUAAAAGGCCAUAUUUGAAUUUGGAAUUUGAAUCUUUGAUUCAAAUUUGCUCAAACACAUCUGGUUUUAGUUGCAUUAGCCCAACACACUCAUAUUGCCAUGUUUCGUGCAUGCAUCAUAUUGUUGCUCAUUGUUUGGUGAUGCCUGUGUAUCGUUAUCCUUUGCGACAGGAUCUGUCCCCGAGGAGUACCGUGAUUACCCUAACGAGGAAUCGUAUCCGUGCAACGAACCAUCAGGCAAGCAACCAACCAUUUGAUCAUAUCGAUACAAUCCCAUGUUCUCGCUCCUGCUCUCUUUUACUGCAUUAAGACAACGCGAUUCAAACUGCUGUGUGCUACGGUAGUUGAACCCAUUUCCUCUGCAUGACCUGUCAUUGCCACAGUAACUAGAUGAAACCCACUAGCAUGUGUAGGAGUUGAUUGAGCCAUAUGUAUGUGUUGUUCCUACCUUGCUAUGCCUGCUAUGCUUAGAGUCGUGUCAGGUCUGGUUCAUCUGGGUGAUGGGCUAGAGUGAAAUGAUUAUGUCGGUAUUGAGAGUGGUGUGGUGAACACGAUUUGGUAAAGGUAUCGAUGAGAGGCCAUGUAGGAGUACAUGGUGGGUUGUUUCAUUGAAGCCGACCUUAAGCACUGAGAUCUGUAUGUGUGAUUUAAGAAUCAGCUACUACCAUGCAUUGGGCCCGAAACCAAUGGACCCUCUCGACUUCUUAUUCACCCUAGCUCUCCGUCCAGGAGUUGCAAGUAGUUUCUGGUGUUUGUAGCCUACUGGAGGCCGUGGACAGCGCUGACCGUAGGGGUGGGCUGUGAUGCGGUAGGUACGUGGCCGGGUGUACCGAAUACCCGUUAGGUAUCUCGGGAACCCUGUUCACAUCGUUCGGGGCCGUAUGGGAAACCUCGGCCGGACUCCCUGCGGAUGGAACCCGAAUAGGCGAUAAACCUGGACUGGAAGCUUAGGUGAUUAGGUAGGUCGUGGCCGACACCCACGUUGGGCUUCCGCUUGAAGGUUGCCGAGUACAUGUCAUGUAAACGACGAUAAGUGGUGAGAGCGUGUAUGAAGAAGUACACCCCUGCAGGGUUAACAUGAUCUAUUCGAAUAGCCGCGUCCGCGGUGAAGGACUACUUGGUUGCCUAUACAGUUCAUAGACAAGUAAAUGGAAACUAUUAAAAGCCUCAAGAUAAGUGUGAGUGCCGAGGAUGGCUCUUCCGUAGGAAGACGGAGGUGGAUCCUCGGUAGUGUAUUGAAGUGGUGAAUGGUGGAAUCGUGUGCGCAAAACUAUUUCAAAUGGAGUAUCGUAGGAUAGUCUAGCCAAGAGUCAAAGCUGGCUUGCUGCAAUAACUCCACCAACCCUUCUUGAUACUAUGCAUGUAUGUAGGAUCUGAUGUAAGUCUUGCUGAGUACCUUUGUACUCAUGUUGCUAUAAUCUACAUUUUUACAGAAGACGCUGCAACCCCUUCUGAUGGGUUCUAUGUAGACGUUGACAUCAACGAGUAGGCUAAAGACCCAUGUGGUGACCCUGAGCUUGUGGAGGACCACAUAGUAUAGCCAGGCUUUCCAAGCCUCUUUUAUUUUACUAGUUGUCUGUACUCAGACAAGUUACUUCCGCUGUUGGCUUGUAUGAUUGUAUAACUUGUAUGUUGGGUCGUGAGACCCGUAACUUUGUGUGUAUAUUAUGUAUGGCUCCCUGAGCCUUAAAUAAAGUACUUGUGUCGUAGAGUCAUGUUGUGAUGCUUCGUUGUAUUUGCACAUAUCGAGCAUAAUGUGUGUAUGAUUGAAAUGCUUGGUAUGUGUGGGAUCUGACUAUCUAGUUGUCUAUCUUUAGUAGCCUCUCUUACCGGGAAAUGUCUCCUAGUGUUACCGCUGAGCCAUGGUAGCUUGCUACUGCUCUGGAACACUUAGGCUGGCCGGCAUGUGUCCUUCUUCGUUCCUGUGUCUGUCCCUUCGGGGAAAUGUCACGCUUUGAGUACCGGAGUCCUGUUAGCCCGCUACAGCCCGGUUUACCGGAGUCCUGCUAGCCCAGUGCUACAGCCCGGACCCACUUGCUGAUGACCGACACGUUCGAAGCUGGGUCAUGGAUGCCUGUCCCUGUAAGUCUGUGCCACUUUGGGUUUACGACUAGUCAUGUCAGCCCGGGCUCCUUAUCAUAUGGAUGCUAGCGACACUAUCAUAUACGUGAGCCAAAAGGCGCAAACGGUCCCGGGCAAAGGUAAGACGACACCCGUGGGGAUACCGUGCGUGAGGCCGCAAAGUGAUAUGAGGUGUUACCGGCUAGAUCGAUGUGACAUCGAGUCGGGGUCCUGACAUUUGCCUUCUUGAUACUAUGCAUGUAUGUAGGAUCUGAUGUAAGUCUUGCUGAGUACCUUUGUACUCAUGUUGCUAUAAUCUACAUUUUUACAGAAGACGCUGCAACCCCUUCUGAUGGGUUCUAUGUAGACGUUGACAUCAACGAGUAGGCUAAGACCCAGGUGGUGACCCUGAACUUGUGGAGGACCACGUAGUAUAGCUAGGCUUUCCAAGCCUCUUUUAUUUUACUAGUUGUCUGUACUCAGACAAGUUACUUCCGCUGCUGGUUUGUAUGACUGUAUGACUUGUAUGUGGGGUCGUGAGACCCGUACCUUUGUGUAUGUUAUGUAUGGCUCACUGAGCCUUAAAUAAAGUACUUGUGUCAUAGAGUCAUGUUGUGAUGCUUCGUUGUAUUUGCACAUAUCGAGCAUAUUGUGUGUAUGAUUGAAAUGAUUGGUAUGUGUGGGAUCUGACUACCUAGUUGUUUAUCUUUAGUAGCCUCUCUUACCGGGAAAUGUCUCCUAGUGUUACCGCUGAGCCAUGGUAGCUUGCUACUGCUCUGGAACACUUAGGCUGGCCGGCAUGUGUCCUUCUUCGUUCCUGUGUCUGUCCCUUCGGGGAAAUGUCACGCUUUGAGUACCGGAGUCCUGUUAGCCCGCUACAGCCCGGUUUACCGGAGUCCUGCUAGCCCAGUGCUACAGCCCGGACCCACUUGCUGAUGACCGACACGUUCGAAGCUGGGUCAUGGAUGCCUGUCCCUGUAAGUCUGUGCCACUUUGGGUUUACGACUAGUCAUGUCAGCCCGGGCUCUUUAUCAUAUGGAUGCUAGCGACACUAUCAUAUACGUGAGCCAAAAGGCGCAAACGGUCCCGGGAAAAAGGUAAGACGACACCCGUGGGGAUACCGUGCGUGAGGCCGCAAAGUGAUAUGAGGUGUUACCAGCUAGAUCGAUGUGACAUCGAGUCGGGGUCCUGACAAAAAUAUUGAUUUAACCCGAAUCGGAUGAUUUUUGGAGGAUCUAUGGGUCUAUAUUUAUUAGUGGAAAAGAGGGUUAGGGGUCAAAGGCUAGGCAAUGUGGGACUAAACGUAGACGAAAAUAUACGAAACAUAGAAGAAAAGAUGCGGAUGGGCCUAAAGGCCUUGGGCCGGCCGCGCGCAUGCUACGGUGCAGUUUUUUUUAACUAAAUUUGGCCUAAGAGAAAAAAGGAAGAAAAAAAAAGAAAAGGCUGGCUGGGCCUGGCCUAUUUAAGAGAGAAAAAAAAACAAUUGGGCGCCAGAAGCUACUAUACUGCGCAUGUAGGCGAUAAAUAAAUAUGGGUCGCACGUACAAUUUUUUUAAAUAGAAACAGAAGGAAAAGCGAAUAACAAAAUAAAAUAAAACUUUUAUAUAGGCAUAUUAUAUAUCAAAAUUUUCAGAAAAAGAUUUUCCACGACAUGAACAUUUUUAUAGCAUUAAAUAAAAUACACACAGAUUCUAAUAAUUCCAACAGUGCUCCUGCUCUAAUAAGAUCCAACAAAAUCAUUUUAAAAAUACCAAAAUGAAAUCAAAUUUAUUUCUCUCCAAUUUUCUGUUGUAGGGAAUCAUGUUACCCUAUUUUCCAUGUAUUUUAUUUUUGAAGAAAAAUGAUUUGAAUAAAAUCCAAAUAACUCCAAAUUGAAAAAAUAAUUCCAAAAGACUUUGAAUUUGAUCCUUUGAAACUCCCAACUCAUAUUUCAUAUAAUUUGAAGAAGUCAUUUUGUCUCCUCUCGUGAAAAUCAUUGAGUUGCAUAAAGUUUCAAAAUUGGAAAUAUUUUCCAAAUGAAAUUCAAAUAUUUUCAACACCCCUUGUCAUUUAAAUAAAUGGAAGAAGUCAUGUCAUCUUCUCUCCAGGGUUUCAUGCUGAAAAGAAUUUGAAUUCAUGGAGAUCACGAAUGAAAAAUGAAAGUUUGGGAAAGUCCUUUUAUUCCCUCUCAUUUAACUUUCAAAAAGGUUUCAAAUUUCAUUCAAUUUCACACAAUCAAUUAAAUCUAUCUAUUUAUUAUAACAUUCCAAAAUUUAGAAUUUUGGGAUGUUACAAACCUACCACCCUUAAAAGGAAUCUCGUCCUCGAGAUUCGGAGAGGCUAGAAAGAAAUAGGUUAGGUUCGGGGUCUCUUCAAAAUUUCAUCGAUCGUCUCCGGCGUCUGGGGUGCUACCACCCUUAGAAGCAUGGUUACGGUUCCAUCUAACUCAUAUACUUCAUCCAUAUUGUUAACAGUGUCGGUCUUCUCAGAUUUUCAGGAUAAUUCCUUAUCUGGGCUCUUUCGAUAGUGCAUAACCUUUUUCCUCAAUUCUUCUCUCUUUCAUCUUGGUAAGGUUCUUCUGUGACUGGGUCUUCUUAGCUGACGGGUCUGGUGCCAAAACUAAACAACUAUCGAUAUCUCAUGGUGGUCAACAAUUUAUGGUUCCUUCUGCAGGAAAUGGGUCUGGUUGACCCUCACCGUAUAACCUACGGUUGGCAAAGCUGCCUUGUACAAGGGAAAAAUACCUAUACCAUUCUAAGGUUCAAACAAGGUUUAAUAUUGCCGUCUCUCUACUAUAGGCAAGUCACUCAGAUUUACCAUCCCAUAUAGCAAGGCGAAUAAGAAGAGUAAGUCGGUAUGGUGAUCAAUCCAUCCCGCACCCAAAUCAUUACUUUGUAUACGGUUUAGCGAAUCUCGCAUUAUAACACUCGGUCAUCCUCACAAGCAUUGCAGAAUUUCUCUUGUCGACGAACUAAGUUCAGAUAAUUCCAUGGAUUCUGCAAGCCAAACAAACAUCUAUCGUUCCUUCACAACUCUCAGGUUUUGUGUUACUCCUAUAAAAUUGUCUGCCGAUAAACGUCGUAUCUUCCUCCAGGGUUCUUCCUUCAGCAAGAAUGUGCUUGCUUCUUGGCAGGUCUUGGGGCCUGUGGGUUAUGGCCCAUCUCAUCACUUGUAGUCCUUGAACUUAUCAUCGGGCAACAUUAUUCCAACUUCCAACUUCCUAGUAUUCUUAAAUCCAUCCAAUUGUCUUGUCUUCCUUCCUUAUAUUUGUACAAGACUAAGACGUGAUUACUCAAACUCAUCAUGGGGUUAUAAUCAUUCCAUAAUACCAACAUCAUACCUCCUUUAUAUCCAAUAGUAAUUCAUCUCUUCAUCCUCGUGGGUUAUCCCGCAUACCGAGAUAUAAACUUAUACGUAUGGAGUCCAUAAUCCACUUCAUGGAACAUCAUUAUCCUUUCUAGGGUCAAGCGUCCUUAUAGGGGAAUAUUGGCCAUCUCUUCAUGGCACUUCUUCAACUGGGAAACCUGAAACACAUCAUGAACUCCUGACAGUCCUUUGGGUGACUCCAACUUGUUGGCCACUUCUCCCAUAUGCUCCAAAACUCGGUAUGGUCCUACAAAUCUCGGGGCUAACUUUCCCUUAACUCCAAAUCGUUUAACUCCUCGCAGAGGGGACACAUGAAGACAUGCUCUGUCUCCAACUUCAUAGACUACCUCCUUGAGUUUUUGAGUCUACAUAACUCUUCUGCCUGGACUGAGCUACCUUCAGUCUAUCUCAAAUCAACUUAACAUUCUCUUCUGACUCCUUGAUCACAUUUGGUCCAAACAACUGACGGUCUCCAACUUCAUCCCACACACUCUUGGGGUAUUACACAUAUCAAAAAAAAACUCGUAUUCAUUUUGUCUGAAAUCCACUCAGUGGAGUAUCCUUAUCUUUUCCAGGGGUCAACGGUUCUUACAGGGUACUACCACCCUUAAAAUGCACAAAUCUUCCAUAGACCAUAUUUCUCAUAUCCUCAGAAUGGCCAAAAUUCUUCUUCAUAGAGCAACAACUCAUAAGAUCCAUAUCAGUACCAACGAUGCUAACUUUAUUCAUUCUCAAGUGAUUACAAUCUCUCGCUUUUCCAUUACAUGUCUCAACUCAACACCUCAAUAUAAAAGAAAAUAUUCUCACUUCUACUACUCCAUUUCUUUUGUUGCAAACUCAACUAUCUAGCACAAGUUUCCUUCUCCUUGGGGCAUUCUCUGGCAAAGUGCCCUGCUCCAUUACAACUAAAACAUAUUACUUCUGACAAGUAUCGAGGUUUCCUUUUUGGGCAAUUGUUGAGGUAGUGCCCUGACUCCUUGCACCUAUAACAGGUGAUAUGACUCAAGUCCUUCCAAGAAUCCAAUCUGCUUCUCUUCCUGGACCUUUCCAUGCCAAUCAUGGCUUCUAUUUCUUGUGGGUCAUAUUCUACUUCCUCUGUCGGGAAUUCUACUAGAUCCCCAUUCAAACAAUUUUGGGAUAUGUGUCCUUCUUCUUCACAUGAAUAGCAUGACUUGGUGCAGGGUUUAAUUGGUUCUUCUUUGGGCGUGUCCUCCACCUCUUCCUUCAUCAUAGUUUCUUCUAAAAUUUCCAUGAGGGAUCCUUUCAUUACUUCUUUCUUCUGCUAGAUGGUUCGUUGUACCAUGGGGUAAAUGUGACUCUGAGCAGGAUAGUGGGAAGUCCCUUCACACAAGAAACAAGUAAUUUGCCUAAUUGGGCAUUCUUCAACUGGGUGACUUCCUUCACAAUUAGGGCAUUCAUCCUUGUGUUCUUUAUGGGUGGGUCCGAUUUCUCCACAAAUCUUGCAGGCACAAGGUUUCUUCAUAUCCUUUCCAUAAGGCUUCAACUUCUGGGACACAAGCCGAGACUUUGGCAGAGUCAACUUAAAUUCUUUCCAAGUGGUUACUCCUUGCCAUCCAUUGAUGGUUUGGUACAUCCUCCACCAAGUAGUAGCACCUCUUUCAAAGCACUGAAGAGCAUGUUGGGUCAUAUCAUGUCCAACUAUAGGGUUAUUCUCCAUGUGAUCCUCCAUGUUCUGAAUCCAUCGGUCCGUGUCCAAUUGACUCAUCGGUCUAGAAAAUACAAGCUCAUAUCCAUUCAUCCUCUAUUGGGUCCAAGGGUUUUGGGGUGAGAUAAGAGAGAUAGAGAGGGAUACACACAAUACAAACAAUGGUUUUGAAAAGACAGAUUUCAUCUGUGGCUGUCGGAAAAACAUCAAACAAAUGACAGCUCACAAACGUCGCAUCUAACAUAGGUAUAUAACAGGGGUUUGGUCUUCUAAAGGUCAAUAAAUCUUCAAAGUCAUCAAACCCAUCAAGUCUUGUUUCAUGCCUCCAAUGGCUUCUUCCAAUCAUGCUUGUCCUUUUCUAGUUCUUUUGCCAGAUCAUCUCUAUUGAUGUGAAGUCUCUCGUGACGUCCUUUAAUAUUCUGGAGUUGCGUUCCAAACUUCUGGGUUUCAACAUCCUUGGCAUGAGCCAUGGUCCUAUUGUCCUUCAGUUCCUAACAAAUCUCUGGUAUCUCGAGGUUGUAGCUCCUCCAGCUUGGCUACUCUCAUCUUCAGGGUCCUGAGUUCCUCAUGAAAUACUUCCUUGUCUAAUACGAUUUCGCGGAGCUCCAUUUUAAACUUCUUGAUGUACUACUCCAGAUCCUGGUGAUACACCGGCUAGGGCUAAAACUUCAUCUUAUGAUAGGUGCUCCAUCAGCCUUCUUCCAUCAAAUCCAUUCUGAAGACAUGCAUCCUUAACUCAGCACGGUGACAAUAGCAUUAGCGGGUGAUGACAUCACGGAUAACCGUGUUUUUGCUCUUGUCAUUUCCAUGAGCUAUCUCUCCACAAUUGAUAUCUCCUGCCUUAGGGUUUCUUGACAAAAGUUUGAGUCCUAUGCUCCAUGUUCCUGUCUUUCUCCAACACACCUUGAUCUCGGGCAUUGACAACUUCCAUAAUCUGUCAAGUUCCAUAAGGGAAGCCUUCCUAGGUUAUACAAAUCUAGGGAUUCUUCAGAGCCUUCAAAUUCUCCUAGUCUUCGGAGUCUUCAACCGUUGUAGUUUCCAUUAUUCAAAUGCACAGUAAAAUCCUCUUCAUUCCGAAGCGGUCUUAGUUGUCCAAUAUCUUGUACUUCUUAGAGUGGUCUCAUCAGUCAAAUCCUCGUCAGGUCAAAAGGGGAAAUGGGUAUGGUCUAACUAAAAGGGAAUAUUUGAAUAAGCUCAGAAGAGAAGAGAGGUAAAAGAUCCUUUUGAAAAGAAAGUUGUAGAGAAAAUAUUUCCUACGGGCUUGCCAGUUUCUAGGGGUCACGUCCUACAGUCAACAUGUGCUCUGAUACCAUUUUAUAGCGACCCGACCCGAAUGGAUCAAGUCUCUGUGCUUAAGUGUUAUCCCUGGAUCAGUAUGCUGACGCACACAGUACUCGAGGAUUUAUAACAGAGGUAAAUCACAUGUAUAAGUAACGUAAAUACUAUUACCUCAAUCCAAAUAGCGGAAGUAACAAGGUUGUGGAUUCCCAUCAACACCAAUGGCAAAGUUGAGUGUAGAAAUCGUAACCCUAACGUAUCACUUACUCAUCGUAAGAAAUCCUGCAACAUGAGACGUUGCAGCCACAAAGGGUCAGUACAUUGAAUGUACUGGCAAAUUCACACCAGAGGAUAAUGAUGAAAAGAGGCUAUCACUACAUGCAUAUUUGGCUGGUGGAAAGGCUCUAGGGUUAUAAUGUUUUUGCGAAAAGCCAAUUUUUCCCUACUACAAAGGAAUAAAUUUUAUUUAACUAUCAUGGUGGUUGUUAAACAUUGAGAAUGGUUGACAGCAUUCUCAAUCCCAAUUAAACAUCAUCAUUAAAACCCAACAAUAUUCAUUUAAAGAAACGUGAUGAGAUUCACAUGAUAAUUCAGGUACUCGAUACUCAAGAUGUCCAUAACCGGGGACACGGCAAAUCAUGAUUAGUUUAUACACUCUGCAGAGGUUUGCGCACUUUUCCCCACAAGGCUCGAUCACCUCCGUUUGGUUUCUCGCACUACAUGGUGUUUGAGAAGACGGAUGACUGAGACAUAGUCUUUCAGAAGCGCUAGCACCUUACGAUGGAUAGACCGUUACACCUACUUUACCCUACAUCUGCUAGUCUACCCUGUAAGAGUUCGCACGACUUAAUCAACUAUGCUAGAGCCCAUAAUAGCUUGUGGCUGCACACGGAAGUUUCUAGUAUGAAAAAUCUCAUGAUCCCUUUGAGCCUGGGUGGCGGUCCAUAAAAAAACAGGCAAUCCUGGUCUACCCAGGUGCCUAGACAAGCAACCCUGGAAUACCCAGGUACCCCAAUCCACCCAGAUGUGUGUUUAAGUUGCCACCUUAAGUAAACCAUUAAUUAACAAACUCACAUCUGUCAUGAAUACUCUCAAAACCCAAUCCACAUCCACGAGCAUAACAUGGCACUAUAAGCAUAACGUAAUAGUAACUCCCAAGGUUUGAAUGCAGGGUAAUAGGUUCCUACUUCAUCAACUACUUCCCAAUACCCACAUGUUAUCAAUCCUACUCAUGCAAUGUUUGAGGGUGAAACUAAUGCAUAAAAACUGGGUAUGAAAGGGGAUAUGAUCAAAGUGUGAACUUGCCUGCAAUGUUGAUGAAGAUGAUUCGCACUCAUAACUCUUGAUAGUUCUACUCGUCACACUCCGGUCAAUCUAUCGUAAGCAAGCAAUAGUAACCACACAUAAGCAAUCACUCAAAAGAUCAGAAAGAACGAAGAAGACGAUUCGGAAACAUCAAAACCAAGCAAAUACCUCUUGCAACAUAAAACAAUUUCUAACAGUAUCAAAAUUAUAUGAAUUUGGCCUUAUCAAAAAGUUUAGGUCAAGAGCUUCGAUUUGCAAAAAGAAUCAACUCAAACGGAGCUACGAAACUCAAGUUAUGAUCAAACGAAGUUUGAAUUCAAAUCUGAUCUAAUUUAAAUUUUAAACUUUUCAAAAACAUGUUUCAGUUGGAUUACUGGAUAGAGGAGAUCAUAACAAAGAAGUGGGCGUUGGUUUUGUUGGAUUUGGACAAACGAGUAAAAAGUUAUGGCUAUUUGAAAAAUCAGGGCCAAACUGUUUUACGGAAGAAAAAAUACGUAGACUAAUUGAUAAUCUAUUAUUUUAUCAUAUUAGUCUAAAAAUAAUAAACUACGGAGGUAUAAGAAGAAAAAAAAACAAAGAAAGAUACCUUUAUAAGGCAGAGAAAAG